AUCCAGCUGAUGAGUCCCAAAUAGAAUAAAACGCGCGUCCUAGAU
rnacentral:hammerhead_ribozyme from 1 species